GCUCUCAUAGCUCAAUGGAUCGAGUACCACGUUGCGGACGUGAGGAUGAUGGUUCGAUUCCAUCUGAGAGCA
rnacentral:tRNA from 1 species